AAAACUUUCAACAACGGAUCUCUUGGUUCUCGCAUCGAUGAAGAACGUAGCGAAUUGCGAUAAGUAAUGUGAAUUGCAGAUACUCGUGAAUCAUUGAAUUUUUGAACGCACAUUGCGCCCUUGAGCAUUCUCAGGGGCAUGCCUGUUUGAGCGUCAU
rnacentral:rRNA from 1 species